GUAUUCCUGCCAGAGGCAGUAUCAUAGUCUAUGAAGUUCUACUGAGACGUGAUUAUUGCUAGUUGAAAACUUUACCCAAUACCCCCGCCUGGUUGAUUUGCAAUAUAAUCAGCUGUGGCAAUUUUUGAUGGUCUCCUUAGAGA
rnacentral:snRNA from 1 species